AAGGCCAGCCCUGGUGUAAAGUUCAAUCCAAACGCCCAGAUAUGUAGGCAAUUUUUCCCCUUGAUGUCUUCUUUAUCAAUUACAGUGGUACCAAUGAUAGCUCUGCAGAUGCAUACAGGUAGAUGCAUACAGAUGUAAAGAAAAAAGAAUUCAAUUCAUUGAUUAAAUUUCCCAUAGAGACAAUUCCUGUAGAGAUUUAUGGAGAUGGUCUUGAGGGGAAUAUUCAGCAGCCAUCUCUCACACCCAGAAAAAAAGGACAGAAGCAAUCCUUAAAGUAUGGUAAAAAAGGUAAUAUUUGGAAGACAUUCAGGCUGGCUCCUUGACUCACUAAAUGGGAGGAGAGGAAAAACACAAUCAGAUUUGCAAGAUUCUGUUAAUAUAGUUUAUAAGGUUUUAUAGGCUUAAAAAAAAAAUCAAAUUUUUAUAUGUUGAAAUACAAAAUCGGACUGUAUCGUUUUUUAAAAAAACUUACUACUGCUUUUGAAAAUGAUAGAAAUUUGAAAAGUAUGGACUAGCAAUCAGCUACUUUGUAGUCCAAAUGAUCUUUUCGAUUUGCCAGUUCUUUCCAUAAAUUGUUGCUUCAUUUUUCACAAGGUGUUGCUGGUGCCCCAUAGCAGAUAACUGCCAGCAGAAAUAGGUCUUUCUGCCAGAAAAUAUUGAGCGAGCCAGAUUGCUGAUGUUUGGGAAAUUGUAACUGAUAUACUUUUAGUAUCCCACUUCUUUAGUAAAUAAAGUUUACUAAAUGUGGUUAUUUUCACAAAUAAUAUCUGCAGCAAUAUCCAGGUCUUUCUAUUAGUUGGAUCAGGUUACUCAAAAUCACAAUCCAGAUGAAAUAGGUUAACUGAAGCCUUAGUGAACCUAUUGGGCAAUGCAUAGGAUUUCACUAUGGCUAGAAGGCAUCCAGGUGAAAAAGCUGACCUAUUAAAAACUGGUCUGGUCUGAAAAUCUUUCCUGGGUUAACAGAUUGAACAGCUUAAUUUGAAGAGUAACAUUCCCUACUCAUGUACUCUAUAACUGAAUUUUGACAAUAAGGCCUGUUGCCCGCCCAGACUGGGAAUUAAUAGUAACUGUAGUCCCAAGAUAUCCAGAAGCCCCAGGCUGGGGAAAGAAACACAUGACACUUUUAUUGAGGGCACUAACUCCCCCAAAGUUUUUGUCCACCCUUCUUGCCCAACCUUCUAUCGUGCUGCAGAAGAUGAAAUGGGGGGGGGGGAAGGAGCAGAAACUUACCAGCCUCUCUUAUCCCAAAGAAACACCAUGUCGGACAGGAAAGCAAAGCUGCUGGUAAAGGAGUGAGAGGAGGAAGAGGAGGAGGACGACGACAACAACAGUGGAGAGGAGGCAAAUGACAGAAGAGGUGAAGGUGAAUUGAGUUUCGGAUUGUGGUAUCCAAUUUGCUGCAAGCUUUUCUCAUCACUGAAGUUUAGAUGAAAGGCAAGGACAACUGGAAGAGCAUCUCUAUCUUAAUCUCACUCCAUUCCUCAUCUGAUAAAUGAAUGCCUACUGGAGUACAAGCAAGUUCGAAGAGCAGCAAAAAGAAAGAGCAACAUCCUCACUUUUUCUGGAAGACCUGCAACUCAAGCAAAGAGCUUUUUCUGUAAGUGGGUAAGGGCAGCAUGUUGAGGAAACAGGAGAAUUUAUUCUGAUGCCUAUACAACAAGCUAAGGACUAUUAUUCUCUGGUGUCUGCAAAGCCCUUACAAAUAGGCUUAUAACUAUCGGAGCAAACAUGGGAUAAGCUGUACCUUGUAAGGUAAAGGUAAAGGUUCCUCUCGCACCUAUGUGCUAGUCAUUCCCGAGUCUAUGGGGCGGUACUCAU